UUAAAAAUUAAGUAGAUAAACAAAUAGAAAAUAGUAACCAAUAGAACAUAGGACAUAAUUUGAUAAUUCAGAAAAUUUAUAGAGAUAGCCAAAGGAAACAUCAAAAAAUUUUUCACUUACAAUGGCAAUGGAAGAAAUACUUUUUUGGGAAAAGAAAUUAAAUUAUGAAAUAGUUUUUUUUUAAUUACAUUUUUAGUUUUUUAUUGGCCAAGGCAAAAAAAAUGCUUGUUAUGUCCUUACUGAAGUGCAAAUUUGCAUUUUUUUCAGAAGCACAGUUGGUUGUAUUUAUAGAAAGCCUAGAAAAUAAGCACAUUUUUACUCAGUGAUUUUUAGGACAAUUUUGAGAUAUUAAGAGAGCAGAAGAUGCUCAAUGAUUCAUUGGGAGGGAUACAAUGAAGUAUUCUUCAAGACAGCAAAACUUUGAAAUUAAUUAAAUGUGUAACAAUAAAGAAUGAUUAAAUUAAAUUAUGGUGAAACUGUAAGAAAGAAAAAUAUAUUGCUAUUAAAACAAUCUUAACUGAAAUGGGAAAUAUUCAGGAUGUAAUAAUGAGUUUGAUGUGGUGUGCUAUGGAGUGGAUGUUAUACAGAGUGCUGUACUGACUUUGCAAUAUGUGUAUAUGUACAGUGUGUGUAUGUGUAAUGAGUGCUUACAUGUUUUAGUUAUUAUGCCAAAUAUUUUCUAUACUUUUUGUGAAUUAAAUGUCUUAUUAUAGAUAAAGAAAGAGCAAACAAAGAGUAUAAGUAACUUAUCUAACCUCUUACUACAAUAAAAGUCUCAUCACUUUAUGAGUGGUGAGACCAGGAUUUUAACAUUCACAUAUUUGGCAUAAAACAUAUCCUAUCCACCAGUAUGACUCAAAUGCCUCAAUAUACUUCACUUUACAAGGAAACCAUCCCCCCCUCCCUACACAGUGGAUAAAGAGUGGAUAUGUUGGUUUUAGUGUUCCUCUUUCUAUAACUGCCUGCUCCUUGCCUGUUUACUUACCUGUCACAGAUAGGUAGGGAUAAAAAUUACACCCUCUAGAGAAAGACAGAUCUACUCUAAGUCUGGACUCUGUCACUUUUACAAUUCUGUGGUCUUGGGUAAGGUAUUUCCAACACAAAAUUGUUAUGAAGAUUAAGUGGCAUAUGCCUGCAAGCCACUAAGCUUUACAAGGGUCUUGCAAAUAAUAAGUGUUCAAUAAAUAGUAGGAAAUAUAUGUGUGUGUUUUUUGCCAAGCGUUCUUUAAUAAACAUAUUACUCUUAUAUUCAGAAAAAGUGCAAUAAAUAUUGUCAAAAAAAUGAAGUAAACCAAUGAACUGAUGUAAGCCUCCAAAAGUUGCUUAAAAAAAAAAAAAAGAAAGAAAAAAAAGCAAAGCCACCUUUGUCUGGACAUUAUAUCACAGUUGUGGCUGCUAACCACAGGUGGGUAUGGAAGCCCGGAGGGAAACCAAUUAUGUGCAAAUCCUUUGACUUAAUGAAAAAUAAAAUUAAGCAGACUAAUACCCAGCAGGUACUUAAACAUCACCUAAUAUUAUGAAAGCCAGUGUUUCUUAAAGAGAAAAAAAGUCUCUGGAGGAACUGGAGGAAGAAGCAGCCCUGACCUAGGAAGAAAUUUCAUAUGUGCAGCAUGAUUUUUCACAGCACACCUGAAAAUCACCAAGCAGUUCCUCCCAUAAGUGACCUAUUUCUCUGCCAGGGCAAAGGAGUUGACUCAUACCUCAAAGCAAACGAUUUUGCUCUAUGACAAAUGGUACUUAAAUUUAGGUUCUGGUGUGCUCUGUACGAAGUGAUAAUUAACAUUUAUGGAAAAGGAUUAAUUUAUUUAUUGAAAAGCAUUAUUUUAUUUUUUAAUGUACCAGAUAAUGCCUUUUAUAUUUUAUUUACAUUAACUCAUCUAAUUUUUGCAGUAGCCCAAGGGAAAGAUGUUACUAUUUUCCCCAUUUUAUAGAUUGUGAAAGGUCACACUGUUGAACCAGAGUCCAUGACCUUUCCACUCAAAAAUGCUGGCUCGUGGAAAUUCAUGGAGUUUCCAGAAAAAUUCAUUAGAGGUAAGGCAAACCCAGAGCUAAACUUAUUCCUACUUUGAAUCACCACUUUUGGUGAUCAAAGUCCCCUACUAAUUGAAGAGAAAAUCACCCAUUAAGGCUCGCUGUCCUGUUUUUAAUGAUAUUAGCCAAGGAAGGGUUGGGGAGUCACAGGACAGAAGUCAAACUGGGAAGACCCAAAGAUGGAUGAGCGAGUCUGAAAAUGGCGGACAGUUCUGGGCUCUGCUGGGGACUGGGGAGAGGACUUGGAUGAGAAUCUUGCAGCCUCCUCACCAGGCGCCUGGUACUACUAGCUGCCCAUUCCCUCAGAAUCAUUGCUGAAGAUCUGCCGCACCCUAGACAUGCCUCUUAACUGGUUUUAAAACAAACACGUCCGUGUAUCUGAGGUCUCUGAACUGGGGUUCACUAGGUAGCUCCUUAGUAAUUUGUUGCUCACCAGCGUUUGGGAAUGUUUGCAGAAUUUCCCUUUCAUGGCAUGAAAGAGGACUCUCCGAUAGAAAGUCACACAGGGAUAUUUUGAAAUGGCUGGGAAGGUAAUCUGAUCCACUCUCUGGAAUGUUUUCUCAUACCAGCAAAGUGGCGUUUGUCACCGGUUGCUUUUACCAGUUGUUGGGUGGACCAUUUUUGGUAGCUCUUUUCUUACCCUCAUUCUUGUUCCACUUCGACUCUGUCUCUCUGAUUUUCUUUUCCCCUUCUUUCUAUUUCUAGGGCAGUUUCUCUCUGUCUCUCUGUCUCUGAAUGUCCCUCUCUGUGUCUCUCUUUCUUGUCCCUUUUCCCUAACAGUCCCCUUCCCACCACUGGCUCAGGUCCUUCUCCUGGAAGCAAAGGCAUUUCUCAUCCAGACCAGCAGCUUGCAUGUUCGGGACUCCAGCUAUACAACAUAUACGGCCUUCAAAGGUUUCCGUGGAGCUUUUCAUGUACCAGCAUCAAGAGAAGAUGAAAAAGCAAAACGAAGUCCUGUUUGAAUAUUGUGACUGUUUUUAAAGACAGAUGAAAGGGUAAAGAAAAUAAUUCCCAUUCAUCCUUUUGUUUAGUUUUUGGCAUUGUAGCUAAGAUUCUCCUAGCAAUUGUUUUCCCCUUCUGCCUUAAGGAAAUCCGCUAAAAAUCUUGGGUUUUGGCAGGCUCGAUUUUCUCAUUUUCCCUCAUAACUAAUUCUUCUGCUUUUUAAUCCGGAGAAACUAGGAACAAUCCGGCCCAAGAUGGAAAUAAGUCUGGGAAGCUGAGAAGAGUGUGAUUUGCGAUCGCACCACCCACCGGCCUCCCCCUUCAAAGUUCUCCUGCCCAGUGUGAACCUCACUUCUGGCUUUUUCUACAAAAGUGGCCGUGAGCGCCCAAUGCACAGAAUGAAUUCGGCUACAAAGAGGCCUUUGAGAGCUCCCGAGGAAGUGCCCCACUGGGAAACCAGGUGGAUGGCAAACGUUCCCUUUUCAUUACAAAUGAGUUCAGGGACAGGGCCACCCUGAUGGGACUCUCAACUCCAUCCGAGAGCUAAGCCCCACCAGCCCACUCAUUUGAAAACCAAACAGGUUUCCUUCUGCCUCCCCUCUCCCUGUUUACAAACACGUUUACAAGUGCUUGAUAGGUGACCUUAUUUACUUAGUAACCUGUGGAUUCAUUUAUCUUGAAAUUAGUAGGUAAUGAAGUGGAAAACCUCAACAGCCCUCCCACUAAUUAACAUGAUAAUAAGAUUGUUUUGCUACAGAGGUACAAUUAGCAUGUAUGAGCCAAAGGGGAAGAAAGAUCAAUAAAAUGUCUGAAGGGUACUACUCCCAGGUCUCCAGAAAAGAACAAAGAAGGGAAACUACAGAUUUUAAGAUCCAUCCGUGUAAACACAUCCAACUCUGAGACCGGACCCUACUGAAAUGAUUUGAUGCCUGCUGGAGAAGGAGGUGUGGAGAUAACUGAAAGGAAUUAAUUAUAAAGUACACAUUUUGGUGCAGUCGAUGGCCUUUGAAAAUAAAAGGGAAAAAUUGAGGUUUGAAUUCAUAGAACACACCGGGCCUGCUGCUAAAGAGAAAGAAACUAUACAAAUGGUCCCAACAUCUUCAGAGAUCCAGGGAGGAGAGCAAAAAUCCCUAAUAUUCAUGCUGAACAGGAAGUCCCUGGAUUGAAGUCCCUUACAACUUUGCCAAAAGAGGUGAUUUAGUCUCUUUGCUGCCCAUUCACAAGUUACAGAAACUCCCAGAGCCAUAGUUGCUCCUUCCACAGCUGAAUCAAGAAUUAGCCUCCAAAGUCAGAGCAUGACCUCGCCAGAAGCUAUUCAUUCAUUCCCGCCUGCACUCAGGCACCGUGCUAGGCAGUUGGAACACCACAAUAAGACAGACAAGAUCCCACCACUUGGCGGGGGAGAUGAGAUGGAAAGAUAUGUUAAAUAAAUGAAACAAGCAGUGCACUUGGGAUUGUGAAGAAGGCUGGGAACAAAGCCUAAUGAGGUGAUUAUGCUGUGGCUGGGGGUAGGAGGAAAGGAUGGCUUCAGAUAGCGAGGCCAGAGAAGGCCUUUCUGAGGAAGGGACACUUAAAUUGAGACCUGCAAGUGGUAGAAGGGCCAGGUGAAGCAACUAGUGAGGGGAAUAGCCUUCCAGGUGGAGGGGAGUGCAUGGUGGGGAAGAGACCUGAGGAGGAGACAAACUUACGUCUCAGGAACAGAAACAGGGCCAGGAGGGCUUGAGCUCAGAGGGUAGAAUGGAUUUGAAGGGCUGCUGUUUCCAGCUGAGCAAAUUACUAGGUGGGGGUUGAGGAAAGAUACUUUCUUUUUCUUGUUCUGGAUAGUGAGUUAUACUGAGAAAAAUGGAGGGGUUGUUCUGGCAGAUUCUUAUUAUGUUUCAUCUCCACAGAAGCUUUUUUUUUGUUUUUGUUUUUUGUUGUUUUUUGAAGGUUGCUUUUUGAAAAAAAAAAUGAACUUGAUAUGAAGACAAACUGACCUUUAUCUGAAUACCUGUUCAGGUGCUACUGGGUGUGUGUUCUUCUUCUUCUUCUUUUUUUUUUUUUUUUUUUUGAGACACUCUUGCUCUGUCGCCCUGGCUGGAGUGCAAUGGUGCAAUCUCGGCUCACUGCAACCUCCACCUCCCAGGUUCAAAUGAAUCUUGUGCCUCACACCGCCAAACCUGGCUAAUUUUUGUAUUUUUAGUAGAGGCAUUUCGCCAUGUUGGCCAGGCUGGUCUUAAACUCCUGGCCUCAAGUGAUCCACCUGCCUCUGUCUUCCAAAGUUCUGGGAUUAUAGGCAUAAGCCACCACUCCUGGACUGGGUGUGUGUGUUCUUGACUAAAGUAUUUAAUCCCUCUGGGCCUCCAUUUUUUCAUCUCUAAAAUGGAUUCAAGACUGAAAUAGCAAGGUGAAUAAUACAAUACCUCCAAGUAUCUACUGGUUAGGAGGAAUUAAAUGCAUCAUUCAAGUUGCCUUAUCCACAGCUCUAUAUGACAGUACUCACCACAUUGAAGAACUUCCCAGCAAGUGCCCUGGGCCCACUGCAGUGAUCAAAUUCAGUGAAAUAUGUGUCGAAUGUGUGGGAAGAAAACAGAGCAAUUCACUGAAAAACUGUUUGAAAUGGCCCGGGAUUGAAAUAAAUAAUUGCAAGGGCCUUCCUAUCCGGAUCAAUUUCUCAGGUAACCAUGGUAAGAGUAGUGUCAACGCUUUGCCAGACAUUAAUUCUGAAAUUGAUGACCAUCAUCAGUUUUGAAAUAUGUGAUAUGUUUGAUCCUAUCAAAAGGCAUGUGUAUUUCCAUAUAAAUCCUUUCAAAAUACAAUAUAUCCUUUUUGGUUUUUGAUGUCUUCCAACUCAGAAAGUAUGAUAUGAUAGAUGUAAGUUUCUGAGCACAUUAGUGAUGUAACAAUUUCAACUGAAGGUAUUUUGGGGCCCUUGGCAACACCUUCAAUCUCUGGGGAUGUUAGAAAUUAAUGGUGAGAGGAAUACAAACAAAACUGUGCUUACCUGUUUUCUGCAAAUGAACACCUAUGCAUAUCCUGGGAGGGUGCUUGCAAUAUGACUGAAGGCCAAUGCUCCAUUUAUACAUGUGCAAAACUACAAAAAAAUUCCCCUGAAUUACAGUGAAACCGUUUUUAAUUCUUCUAAUUUUUUUCCUACCAUGUGCCUGCACCAUGUAAAUAUCGAUUUUAAACACCUGACAGGUUUAAUCUUGAAAAUGGAAGCAUAGACCAGUUCAUGUGCAUAACAAACAUCCGAUUUACUACUCUUCUUGCAAGGGGAAAAUGAGUUGCCCCUCCUUCUUCCUCUUCAAUUUGAUAAACUCUUGCCUCUUUUGUCAGGUCGGACCUAUUCUAGUCGACUUGUGUCCAAAAAAAAUACCUUACAAAUGGAUUUUCAGUCACCACUCAACGAAGCUGGUUGACAGAGCUCCACAAAAUCCUUCUGGAGGGAGGCAGGCUUUUAACUUGAUUGAUGAAAUUAUAUCUAAAUCUAGUAGAUUUGGGACUUCAAAGGCAUUUUUCCCUACUUAGGGCAUCCCGGAUGAAGGGCGUAUGCUAUUUGUACCAAACUCCCAGGCUCAAGUGGUUCGCAAAUUGACCCCUUUGUAAUAGGUUAAAGGUUUCUUGCUAGAUAACAGUGGUUCAUUUUGAUUAAUUAUGUCAGGGAAUUAAUGUAUGAUUACUAACUUUGAGCAGACCCUGCUCCUUCUGACCCCGGGCUGCUUGUUUGUGUGGCUGGUUGUAAUUUUCGACUGAUAGGUUAGGAGAGGUCACUGUGUGGUCAGCAUAUUUUAAACAAAGGAAGAAAAAAAAGAAGCAGGGACCUCCAAAUGGAGUGGACACUGCAGUUCACAGGCUUGACAGAGAAGAUCUGUUAAGUGUUUUAGCAGUGGGCUUUUAUAUAUUUACUCAUGCUAAUAAAAGAUGGUUCCCCAGGAUGGAGAGUAACCUGGGAAGAUGUGAAGAAUAACAGUUAAAUGUUAGCCCAUAAAUUUCAUUUCAUACUGGUUUCAAUAACCUAGGACCUUGUUAAAGAUUAAAUGGCAACGUGUUGAGUUUUGGCUUUCGAUAGGUCAAGAGAAUCAGGAUGAAAAAUUCUUGUUAAUAAUGAGGUUUUCUAGUAGAUGGUGUGUAGUUUAAACUGUUAUUCUUAGAUUACUAGCUAUUUAGAAGGAGGGUAACAGUAUAAGCUGAUGACAUUUCACUUCAAAUUAUUUUUAUUCCAUUAAUUGACAUUAUUUAUGUGACACAACUCCUCUUGAUGGAAACAAUUUCAUUCUUCAGCAUGAACUAAGAACUUCACGGCACAUGGUCCUCUCUAAAGAAUCAGUUCAAAAUGUCCAGUGGCCUCUAAAAUUAAACUGGUGUUCCUUGUGUCUUUGUUUCCUUCAGAGCAAAAUAUUUACCACCAGAAUUAAGUUCUUAGGGUCUUAGAAAAUGCUUUAAGGAUUUGUUCAAAAAAAGAGCUUAUUUUUUCUCUCUCGGACUUUGAGGAUUUCUCUAUCCAGAAUUCUGUGGAUGUGAUGUUGUCAAUGUUUUCUGAGUGUGACCUUGUUGAAACACAAUUACAAGGCUCAGAGGAAGAAGGGCAAGCUGAGGAGAGAGAGGAGAACUUUAUAGGAAAGACAGAAGUGCCCAGGGGAAAUAUCAAGGAAACAGAGAAGGGCAUAAUUAUGAAAGGGUUGGGCAGAGCAUCGAGAGGAAGAGAGAAUGCCAGAACUGUUUGGUUUUCGAGUAAAUGCUGCAUAUUAGAGGACUUGAAAGCAGAGAGUUUAAAAAAAAUCAGAAAAAAUGAAGUGUUACAAAGGGAAGGUGUUACUUAGAUGCUGUAUUAAAUUUUUAAACAUUAUAAAACACCCUUUCUAUAAGGUUAUUCAGAAAUAAAUUGUGCUUUAGCGUUCAGAUUUAGUUAUCUCUGUCCAGAAGGAUAUUGGAAAGGCACUGGGCAUGCUGACAAUUGCUGAUCGCCCAUAGCCUUUAUGGACAACAUAAUCACAAUUACUGUAUUUCAAACAAGCCCCUUUCAAAAAUUAGAGGUGUUGAUGACUUUAAUGGGGACAUAGACCAUUUGUCUGUUCCAUUAUUGCAAUUACUGUCUGGCUUGGUAUCUUCUCCCUGACAGUGGCUAAUGCUGUAUACUUCAAAGGAAGAUAUAAACCCUCAAUAAUGCACUUAUGGUCCAAUUCACAUCUAGCUCUUCAUCUCCCUACUGUACUCGCCCCACUUCCUUCACACACACACACAUGCACGCGUGUGCGCACACACACUUUCACACACACACACAGAGUUAUAAGUGUAGGAUUCUGUUGAGGAAAUACAUUUGCAUUACAUUGGAGUUACAGAAACAAGCAACAGCAGAGCAGAAGAGAGAUGAGGCCACAGGAGCACAAGUUGCAGGGCUAGAGACAUGGAGAGGUUGCCUUACCUAGUUGUUCCCCUGUUAAGGCAUAGCUGUCCUCAUAUCAAACAGAGAUCUCAGAAAGACAAUAAUCCUCAGAUACCCCUGCAACACUUCUUAGGGGUUUUGAAACACAAACCCACUUAAAUAAUUAUUUUCUUUCUCAGUUCAACCGCUCACUUUCCUAUGUUCAGUUGUUGCAAAUAAAUAGGGAAAUAUAUAUAUAUAUAUCUCAUAUAUGUUUUAUGAUAUGUAUCGCCUAAAUAUCUCCUAAGUGAUAUUUUCUUCUUGAUUCCCAGAUCACACAACUUUGAACUAAUUUGACUAUUUUUGUACUGUAGAUUCUAUCAUGGUUUUAAUCAUAUUUUUAUUUUUAAAUAAUAAGAUAAAAUAGGAAAGUUUCUCUACACAUAAGCAAAAAGACAGAGUAAUCUGAGGUUAGGACUGUAUGAGGACAACUGUGUAUAAAGCUGUGAGUUGGUUCUCAUUUAUUUUUCCUGGAGAAGAAUAAUGCUCACCAACAGUGCAGCCCCACAAGCUGUAACUACUCAUAUCUUUUCAUUGGCCAGACAAAUUGGGUUCCUGCUCUCUACUACCUAGAUUUUGAUGGGAAAACAAUGACACUUCUGCUAUUGUUCCAGGACUUCGUGAAGAUUCAGGGUUUCAAAAUCAAAAGCAGAGCAGAAAAGCAUUAAAAAAGAAUAAAAAAUUUUAAAACUAUUGAGUUUAAUAUAGUUAAGAU